rnacentral:rRNA from 1 species
CUACGGGAGGCACCAGUGGGGAAUAUUGCACAAUGGGCGCAAGCCUGAUGCAGCCAUGCCGCGUGUAUGAAGAAGGCCUUCGGGUUGUAAAGUACUUUCAGCGGGGAGGAAGGGAGUAAAGUUAAUACCUUUGCUCAUUGACGUUACCCGCAGAAGAAGCACCGGCUAACUCCGUGCCAGCAGCCGCGGUAAUACGGAGGGUGCAAGCGUUAAUCGGAAUUACUGGGCGUAAAGCGCACGCAGGCGGUUUGUUAAGUCAGAUGUGAAAUCCCCGGGCUCAACCUGGGUACUGCAUCUGAUACUGGCAAGCUUGAGUCUCGUAGAGGGGGGUAGAAUUCCAGGUGUAGCGGUGAAAUGCGUAGAGAUCUGGAGGAAUACCGGUGGCGAAGGCGGCCCCCUGGACGAAGACUGACGCUCAGGUGCGAAAGCGUGGGGAGCAAACAGGAUUAGAUACCCUUGUAGUC